UGCCAUGGCAAGCCCUUUUCUCCACCACCGCCUGCUGUGUGGGGGCUCAGCUGGCCAGCUGGGCCCCAAGGAGGAAGGCCUACAUGGCAAGGCCUCUUCUCCAGCAGCAGCAGAACAUGUGGGGCCUUAGGCUGGGCCCCAAGGAGGGAGGCCGCCAGUGGUGGUGGAGGUGCACAGGGUCUCAGGCGGCCACCUGUUUCCUAAGGAGAUGGAGAGAGGCCGCAGCAGCCACAGAGGCACUGGAGGAUGGUGGAGGUGCUGGGUUCAGAAUCAUCAGAACCUCUCCCCUUCCAACUCAAUGUGAGGUAUUGAGCAGCAUCUCCUGCUUAUUUGUGGAGUGCCUGAAGCUGAACUAUCAGUCAAGAACAACUACUUGAGUAAUUAGCCACGUCAAGUUCAGCAUCAUCUAUCAAGAGACUAAUCCACUUCAUAACCUACUCACAGUGGCAUCUCAGUGAAUUUAAUCUACUUUGAAUUUCAGAAUGAUUCACUUUGGUGUUAUGCCAGAGUGUGAAGAAAAGGGUGGGCUCAUCUUUUACCUACCAAUUUUAAAACUUUGUAAGCAUUUCCCCACUUCCUGGAAAUUUAAAUUGAGAUGGUUAUCUAAAUGGUUGUUGUUGCUGUUGUUGUUGUGUUCCUUCAAGUUGUUUCUGACUGAUGGCAACCCUAAAAUGAACCUAUAGUUUGAAAAUAAU